rnacentral:rRNA from 1 species
CUUUUCUUGUAAUUACUGGGAAAUAUCACCUGCCCAAUGAAAUUUGAAUGGCCGCGGUAUCUUGACCGUGCAAAGGUAGCAUAAUCAUUAGUCUUUUUAUUGAGGACUGGAAUGAAUGGUUGGACGAGAUAAGAACUGUCUUUAAUUUAUUUUAUUGAAUUUAAUUUUUGAGUAAAAAAGCUUAAAUUUUUUUAUGGGACGAGAAGACCCUAUAGAGUUUAUAUAUUUAUAAUUCUGUUUAUUGAUGUAUAUAAAUAUAAAUAUUAAUGAAUUAUAUGUAUUUAGUUGGGGUGAUUGAAAGAUGUAAGUAACUCUUUAUAUUGAAUAUUAUUGAUUUGUAUAAUUUUGAUCCAUUAUUAAUGAUUAUAAGACUAAAUUACCUUAGGGAUAACAGCGUAAUCUUUUUUGAGAGUUCUUAUUAACAAUAAGGGUUGCGACCUCGAUGUUGGAUUAAGAUAAUUUUUUGGUGCAAAAGCUUUAGAAUUGGGUCUGUUCGACCUUUAAAUUCUUACA